AUUGAACGCUGGCGGCAGGCCUAACACAUGCAAGUCGAACGAGUGGCGGACGGGUGAGUAAUGUCUGGGAAACUGCCUGAUGGAGGGGGAUAACUACUGGAAACGGUAGCUAAUACCGCAUACCAUCGGAUGUGCCCAGAUGGGAUUGGCUAGGAGGUGGGGUAAAGGCUCACGUAGUCGACGAACCCUAGCUGGUAUGAGAGGAUGACCAGCCACACGGAAACUGAGACACGGUCCAGACGCCUACGUGAGGCAGCAUGGGUGAAUAUUGCACAAUGGGCGCAAGCCUGAUGCAGCCAUGCCGCGUGUAUGAAGAGGGCCUUCGGGUUGUAAAGUACUUUCAGCGGGGAGGCGUUACCCGCAGAAGAAGCACCGGCUAACUCCGUGCCAGCAGCCGCGGUAAUAC
rnacentral:rRNA from 1 species